UUUGGUAGCAAGAGAUUAGAUAAUAAAGGAUCUGAAAGUAAGUGUGUGAUAUGUAUCAGAGUUAUGGUAAGUUGUUCUGUGGGGCUUGUGUAUAUAAAGGGUCAGACUGUAAAUUACUUCACAUGAAAAUAUAGAUGGAGAGUAACCAAACUAAUAAAAGUUCAAUAGAGGCACUCAAGCUGGUCCACAUAGGCCGUCAGGCUAUGUUGCUUGGACUCUCCAAAUACUGAAAUACUGCCAUACCCAUGUCGGAUCCUCCAAAAUGCACCCAAUGGCAUUUUUGAAGAGUCCGAGCAACAUAGGC
rnacentral:lncRNA from 1 species